AUCUAGCUGACGAGUCCGAAAUAGGAUAUAACGGACGUCAUGGAU
rnacentral:hammerhead_ribozyme from 1 species